AGCUGCUUGAAAACUAACAUUACUUCAAUGACGACUACAAAGUUAACUUUUCCUGAUGUUAACAAGACCAGGCCUUCCUUGGACGACUUUUGUAGACGCCACUACACAGAAUACCAGGGCACAGGUUACAAAAAGCAUCAUAGCCCCAAACUAAGCCUCGAGAAUUGCUUGAUUACAUGCAUACAGCCUGCAAGACCAGGCUCUGUAAUUAUCAACGAUGCGCCUGACGGCACGAGCUGCAAUGAAACCAAACCACGCGCGAUCUGCAUUAAUAAUAAAUGCACACGUGUUAAAUAUAAUCAUGUCCAGACACUCAAAGGUGAUAUUGAAGUUGCAGAAGAAUGAUGUCAAGGACCCUAACUUGCUGUCCUGUGAAACGUAAGAACAUGUCAGUCAAGAACAUGCCCAUGGAGUACAUUUCUCUCUUUGUCCAUAUGUGUGUGCUGCGCAGCCAGUCAUGAAUUAGUACCAACUCACCCACUUGUCAGUACUGAGGCGAAUCAAGUCAUAUUUCGAUAAGAAAUUGUAGUGGCAGCACUUCAGCGUUAAUGAAGAAGUAAAAAUGGCACAUCGAAAAAGAUGACAUCAAAAACAAGAAUAUUUGACAGAUGUUGGAGCAAAGCCAUCCUGUCGACACACUUCAAGCAAGUAUUGUAAACUUAUGUAUGGAAUGUGGGCAGUAACCAUAACCGUAUAAACUGCAUAUG